rnacentral:rRNA from 1 species
GUCUACGGCCAUACCACCUGAACACGCCCGAUCUCGUCUGAUCUCGGAAAAUACAUCAGGUAGUGACAAGCCCUCCGGUGAAGAUU